UUACGGUCAUAUGGGGGUUAAACAUCGGUUCUCGUUCGAUCACCGAAGUUAAGCAAUGUCGAUACUGGUGGGUACCUAGAUAGGUAGCCGCUUGGGAAUAUCUGAUGCUGUAA